rnacentral:rRNA from 1 species
ACAGCAGUAGCCGCGGGAAUACGAAGGGGGCUAGCGUUGCUCGGAAUCACUGGGCGUAAAGGGUGCGUAGGCGGGUCUUUAAGUCAGGGGUGAAAUCCUGGAGCUCAACUCCAGAACUGCCUUUGAUACUGAAGAUCUUGAGUUCGGGAGAGGUGAGUGGAACUGCGAGUGUAGAGGCGAAAUUCGUAGAUAUUCGCAAGAACACUAGUGGCGAAGGCGGCUCACUGGCCCGAUACUGACGCUGGGGCACGAAAGCGUGGGGAGCAAACAGGAUUAGAUACCCGUGUAGUCCCUGUCUCUUAUAC